GACGGGGCCCGGCACAAGCGGUGGAGUAUGUGGUUUAAUUUCGAUGCAACGCGAAGAACCUUACCUGGUCUUGACAUCCCGGAGACCCUUAGGAAACUAGGGGUGCUUCCAUCUGGAAGAAUCUGGAGACAGGUGCUGCAUGGCUGUCGUCAGCUCGUGUCGUGAGAUGUUGGGUUAAGUCCCGCAACGAGCGCAACCCUUGCCUUUAGUUGCCAGCAGUUCGGCUGGGCACUCUAAAGGGACUGCCGGUGUUAAACCGGAGGAAGGUGGGGAUGACGUCAAGUCCUCAUGGCCUUUAUGACCAGGGCUACACACGUACUACAAUGGCCGAUACAAAGGGCAGCGACACUGCGAGGUGAAGCCAAUCCCGUAAAAUCGGUCUCAGUCCGGAUUGGAGUCUGCAACUCGACUCCAUGAAGUUGGAAUCGCUAGUAAUCGUGGAUCAGCAUGCCACGGUGAAUACGUUCCCGGGCCUU
rnacentral:rRNA from 1 species